GAUGAACGCUGGCGGCGUGCCUAAUACAUGCAAGUCGAGCGAACAGGCGAGGAGCUUGUUCCGCUGACGUGAGCGGCGGACGGGUGAGUAACGCGUGGAGAACCUACCUAUAAGCGGGGGAUAACUUUGGGAAACGGGAGCUAAUACCGGAUAAUCUCUUUAAACACAUGGUUCAAUAGUAAAAGACGGAUGUGCUGGACACUAUAGUUGGAUCCGGGCCUCUUUGUCUAGUUGGGAAGGUCAGGGCUUACGAAGGGAGCGAUGCGUGGCCGACUGGAAGGGGUGAUCGGCCACAUUGGAACUGGACCCCGGUCCAGGCGCCUACGGGAGGAGGCAGUAGGGAACCUUCCGCAAUGGGGGAAAGCCUGCCGGAGCAACGCGGCGUGAUUGAUAAAGGUCUUCGGUUCGUAAAACUCUGUUAUUAGGGAAGAACAAAUUUGUAAGUAACUAUGCACGUCGUGACGGUAACUAAUCAGAAAGCCACGGCUAACUACGUG
rnacentral:rRNA from 1 species